GUCAUAAUGAUAUCAUUCUCUAUAAAACUGUGGAAGUUGCGUCUUAAUGAUAUCAUUCUCUAUAAAACUGUGGAAGUUGCGUCAUAACGAUAUCAUUCUCUAUAAAACUGUGGAAGUUGCGUCAUAAUGAUAUCAUUCUCUAUAAAACUGUGGAAGUUGCGUCAUAAUGAUAUCAUUCUCUAUAAAACUGUGGAAGUUGCGUCAUAACGAUAUCAUUCUCUUUAAAACUGUGGAAGUUGCGUCAUAAUGAUAUCAUUCUCUAUAAAACUGUGGAAGUUGCGUCAUAAUGAUAUCAUUCUCUAUAAAACUGUGGAAGUUGCGUCAUAAUGAUAUCAUUCUCUAUAAAACUGUGGAAGUUGCAUCAUAAUGAUAUCAUUCUCUAUAAAACUGUGGAAGUUGCAUCAUAUCAUUCUCUAUAAAACUGUGGAAGUUGCGUCAUAAUGAUAUCAUUCUCUAUAAAACUGUGGAGUUGCGUCAUAAUGAUAUCAUUCUCCAUAAAACUGUGGAAGUUGCGUCAUAAUAAUAUCAUUCUCUAUAAAACUGUGGAAGUUGCGUCAUAAUGAUAUCAUUCUCUAUAAAACUGUGGAGUUGCUUGCGUCAUAUCAUUCUCUAUAAAACUGUGAAGUUGUGUCAUAAUGAUAUCCUUCUCUAAAAGACAGUCACUUGUCAUCACUUACUCAGCACCCUACACUUUACAAUUAUAGACAAAAUGUCUGUAGGUAUAUCGUUGUCUAUGAGUUCUAAAAGAGGUAUAAACGAAAGUGAGAAAUUACACCCAUGGAUAGUCAUAACACAAAGCGUGUGACAUAGGAAAAGUCCCUGCUGCUAUUUUGUUUGCAUAUUUCAUCCACACAGAGAAUGUGUCAUCAUCUCAGACUGGAGAUGUGACUUCACUCUCUGUCCAUUAGCCAAUGGGACCCGACACCCUCGUCCUGCACGUCUGCAACCGGCUGCACUACCACUAAUCAGCAUGUGUCUAUGGCUUUAUGCAAACCACAGUGUGGGUUUCAGCUGUGGCCUGAUGAAGUCUUCCAUGGCUCCACAUGUGGACUGUGUAGGUUGGAACACCUCAGCCAGGACCUGUCAGUUCCUGUUCCAAGCCAUCCUCGUCUAAAUGGAUCCUGAUUGGCUGUUUAGACAGGGAAGUGUGCGAAACUUUGAAGUGGGAGAGGUUGAAUCAGAAUCAGUAUCGCUCAUUGGAGUGUAACUUCAUUUUUGCUGAAUGUGCCAAACCACAGAUGUACGUUUUGAUAAAGAAUGAUGUUGAAACACAUCAGUUUUUUUUAGAUAAAAGAGCAACAUGAAUUGAAAAAUGUUACAACUGGGGUACAUUCUUGGGUGUUGCUGUUUUCCCUCGUUGGAAGACUUCUAAUAUUUCCGCUAUGUUUGCAUGGUUCCCCGCUAAGGCAUCAAGUCAUAAUGUUUCUUUGGUUGAAUCUCAAUCAUAUUCAAUAAAUCUUAUUGUAACAUGGGUCGUAUAAAGGGGACCAAGGCGCAGCGUGUAAAGUGCUCAUAUUUCCUUUUAAUGAUAACACUUAAACAAAACAACAAAAUGGCAGCCAACAGUUCCGUCAGGUACACUUGACAAAACGGAAAACAAC
rnacentral:lncRNA from 1 species